rnacentral:lncRNA from 1 species
CUACUAUUUUAUAUAUAUAUUUUUUUUUUACGAAAUUGGAAAUGUGAUAGUUUCCAAAAUAUAUAUUACUUAAACUUUGUGUUUCAUAUUUAUUGCUUUAUGUUUAUUUUUAUUUUUAUGUUUAUUGCUUUAUAUUUAUUUCCUUUUUUUAACACUUUAUAAUAUAUUCCUAUAUAUAUAUAUAUAUACUUAUACGUAACUUUUUUAUCAUGUUCACUUUUUUAUUUUUCCUUUAACACUUAUAAUAAAAAAAAAAAAAAAAAUAUAUAUAUAUAUAUACAAUUACGUAAGUAUUGUAUAAAUCCUUGUACGUGAAAGCAAAAAAAAAAAAAAAAAAAUGUAAAUCCGUUUUACGAUUUAAUAUUAUAAAAUAAAAGUUUCAAUUAAUAUAAAUUUUAUUUAUUAACUUUUUUUUUUCGUGAUACAAAUUUUAAACACAUGUAAAUAUAACGCUUGGCACAACUGUAAAUUAGUAUUGUAAAUACAACGUAUUUUAUGAAAAUAUAUAAAAACAUUAUAUAUAUAUAUAUAUACCAAUAUUUACAAGCGCAGUCGUAUAUUUACAAAUAUGGAAUAAUUAGAUCCAUGUGUAGAAUGCAACUGUGUACAGUUUUUUUUUAAAGGUUUUCUUUUUUUAUAAUAGACUUCAAUAUAUAUAUAUAUAUUUUUCUUAUGUUUGUCAUUUCAAAAUGUUAAGAUUGAAUAUUUUUAAGUUAGCGAAAAUGGGGCCUAGUAAGGGUAAAGGUCCCCUUAUAGCAAAAUAUGCACCUAGUGGUUUUAAAAAAGGAUUUGGAGCUAUAGGCUUAGGAAGACAUACGAAGAAAGGUUUUUUUAUUAUUAACAAAAUGUUAAUUCCUAAAUUUCAUGUCCCUGAUUUAAGUGAUUGUGAUGUAAGGCAAAAAAAAAAAAAAAAAAAAAAAAAAAAAUGCUUAACGUUUAAUUAUCUAUGCGUUUUAGUAUAUUUUCAUUAUGUACGUGCAUAUUGUGUAUAAUCAACUGUAACUUAAGCAUAUAUAUAUAUAUAUGUAUAUAAAUACAUUAUCUAUCCCCCUUUUGGAUGCAUUAAUAUUUUAAAUUUAUAUACAUUUUUAUCAUUUGUUUUAUCAUGUGUGUAUGUUUCAUUAUUAGUUAAAGCCAUAUGUUUCGAGAAAAAACUCCAUUGAUUGUUAUGAAAAAGCAGUUGGGUCCCAAGAGAAAAAUUUUGAAUUGAGAUGUGAAAAAAA